rnacentral:rRNA from 1 species
UGACGGUACUUUAGGAGGAAGCUCCGGCUAACUACGUGCCAGCAGCCGCGGUAAUACGUAGGGAGCGAGCGUUGUCCGGAAUUACUGGGUGUAAAGGGAGCGUAGGCGGGAUUGCAAGUCAGAUGUGAAAUACAGGGGCUCAACCUCUGGGCUGCAUUUGAAACUGUAGUUCUUGAGUGAAGUAGAGGCAAGCGGAAUUCCUGGUGUAGCGGUGAAAUGCGUAGAUAUCAGGAGGAACACCGGUGGCGAAGGCGGCUUGCUGGGCUUUUACUGACGCUGAGGCUCGAAAGCGUGGGGAGCAAACAGGAUUAGAUACCCUG